AGAGUUUGAUUCUGGCUCAGGACGAACGCUGGCGGCGUGCUUAACACAUGCAAGUCGAGCGAUGAAGCUUCUUCGGGAGUGGAUUAGCGGCGGACGGGUGAGUAACACGUGGGUAACCUGCCUCAUAGAGGGGAAUAGCCUUCCGAAAGGAAGAUUAAUACCGCAUAAGAUUGUAAUAUCACAUGAUAUAGCAAUUAAAGGAGCAAUCCGCUAUGAGAUGGACCCGCGUCGCAUUAGCUAGUUGGUGAGGUAACGGCUCACCAAGGCGACGAUGCGUAGCCGACCUGAGAGGGUGAUCGGCCACAUUGGGACUGAGACACGGCCCAGACUCCUACGGGAGGCAGCAGUGGGGAAUAUUGCACAAUGGGGGAAACCCUGAUGCAAGCAACGCCGCGUGAGUGAUGACGGUCUUCGGAUUGUAAAGCUCUGUCUUCAGGGACGAUAAUGACGGUACCUGAGGAGGAAGCCACGGCUAACUACGUGCCAGCCGCCGC
rnacentral:rRNA from 1 species